rnacentral:rRNA from 1 species
UACGUAGGGUGCAAGCGUUAAUCGGAAUUACUGGGCGUAAAGCGUGCGCAGGCGGUGAUGUAAGACAGGUGUGAAAUCCCCGGGCUUAACCUGGGAACUGCAUUCGAGACUGCAUUGCUGGAGUACGGAAGAGGAGGGCGGAAUUCCCGGUGUAGCGGUGAAAUGCGUAGAUAUCAGGAAGAACACCCGUGGCGAAAGCGGCUCUCUGGAACGGUACUGACGCUGAGACGCGAAAGCGUGGGGAGCGAACAGG